GACGAACGCUGGCGGCGUGCUUAACACAUGCAAGUCGAACGGAAAGGCCCUGCUUGCAGGGUACUCGAGUGGCGAACGGGUGAGUAACACGUGGGUGAUCUGCCCUGCACUUCGGGAUAAGCCUGGGAAACUGGGUCUAAUACCGGAUAGGAGCCAUUUUUAGUGUGAUGGUUGGAAAGUUUUUUCGGUGUAGGAUGAGCUCGCGGCCUAUCAGCUUGUUGGUGGGGUAAUGGCCUACCAAGGCGGCGACGGGUAGCCGGCCUGAGAGGGUGGACGGCCACAUUGGGACUGAGAUACGGCCCAGACUCCUACGGGAGGCAGCAGUGGGGAAUAUUGCACAAUGGGCGCAAGCCUGAUGCAGCGACGCCGCGUGGGGGAUGACGGCCUUCGGGUUGUAAACUCCUUUCGCUAGGGACGAAGCUUUUUGUGACGGUACCUAGAUAAGAAGCACCGGCCAACUACGU
rnacentral:rRNA from 1 species